rnacentral:SRP_RNA from 1 species
GCCAGGCAUGGUGGUGCAUGCCUGUAAUCCCAGCUACUUGGGAGGCUGAGGCAGGAGAAUUGCUUGAGCCCAGGAGGCAGAGGUUGCAGUGAGCCAGGAUCACGCCACUGCACUCCAGCCUGGGCUACAGAGUGAGACUCCAUCUCCA